AGAAGUGUCGUCAUUGGCAGAGGAUUCUAAUCCUUUCUUUUUUCUCUUUCUUGGUAUUCGCUCAAUUCGUAUUGGUUUCGCAGAGACUUUUAAACCCAUAGCUUUUAUUGGGCGGAAGGAUUUUGUGGGGGAUUUUGCCAGUAUUAAGUAUAUGGAAGAUAUAAGACUUAAUGCAAUUGAACAGGAAGCUGCCAAAGGAUUGAAAGGUCCCAAAGUAGUUGUUUUCAAAGAGAAGGAUUUUAGUUCUACAGUUCAUCACAGCUCUGAUGGGAAUCAUGAUUCGGAUCGACCAAGGGAUCCAAAAGAUGCUGAUAUUCUAGAAG